rnacentral:rRNA from 1 species
AUUGAACGCUGGCGGCAGGCCUAACACAUGCAAGUCGAACGAGUGGCGGACGGGUGAGUAAUGUCUGGGAAACUGCCCGAUGGAGGGGGAUAACUACUGGAAACGGUAGCUAAUACCGCAUACCAUCGGAUGUGCCCAGAUGGGACUAGCUAGUAGGUGGGGUAAUGGCUCACCUAGGCGACGCUCCCUAGCUGGUCUGAGAGGAUGACCGGCCACACUGGAACUGAGACAUGGUCCAGACUCCUACGGGAGGCAGAAGGGGGGAAUAUUGAACAAUGGGCGGAAGCCUGAUGUAGCCAUGCCGGGUGUAUGAAGAAGGCCUUAGGGUUGUAAAGUACGUUUAGCGAGGAGGCGUUACUCGCAGAAGAAGCACCGGCUAACUCCGUGCCAGCAGCCGCGGUAAUUC